UACGUAGGUGGCAAGCGUUGUCCGGAUUUAUUGGGCGUAAAGGGCGCGUAGGCGGACCGUUUAGUCAGAGGUGAAAGCCCAGGGCUCAACCUUGGAAUUGCCUUUGAUACUGGCUGUCUUGAGUUCGGGAGAGGUGAGUGGAAUGCCGAGUGUAGAGGUGAAAUUCGUAGAUAUUCGGCGGAACACCAGUGGCGAAGGCGACUCACUGGCCCGAUACUGACGCUGAGGCGCGAAAGCGUGGGGAGCAAACAGG
rnacentral:rRNA from 1 species